rnacentral:rRNA from 1 species
GGAAUCGAUAACCGCUGAAAGCAUCUAAGCGGGAAGCGAGCCCUGAGAUGAGUCAUCCCUGACCCCUUGAGGGUCCUAAAGGGCCGUUGGAGACCACAACGUUGAUAGGUGGGGUGUGUAAGCGUAGUGAUACGUUGAGCUAACCCAUACUAAUUACCCGUGAGGCUUAACCAU